UUGACUCUUCCUCUAAGAGGCAAUUUCUCUUGUCUUUGGGCACAUGCUGGAUAAAGACCAAUCGUUUCUCUAGCCAUUGUGGUGAAUGAAGACUUUACCCUACAAGAGGUGGCUGCAGGCAUAGGAAAUCAGCCUGGUCCUGCCACAGUUACGGAGGAUCCAGGAAGAGAUCCUGCCCUCUGAAAAGAGUGGAACCAUCAGCAUGGCUGGCCCUCAGCUGGAUGAGAAGGAGAUCAGUUAGCACCUCAAAGGCAUUUUUAUGCCAAGAACAGCUCCCCUGCCGACGUACCGUGAGCUGCUGGAGGUCACACAGGUCUUUCUUACCAGCCUCAGCAGUACAGCCAACUGGCUUUUGCAUGAGCAUCUCCAGGGAGUCCUCGCCAGACCAAGGUUAUAUCAAGAAUCUUAAGACUAUAUUUUCUUGGGCACCUAUAAAUUUAUCCAUAUGUCUAUGGGAUUUCUUUUGCUAAGUGAAUCUACACAUGGGACUCUAUAUCCUUGUCACUGACAAAAUAUUCUUGGGCUUUUUCCCUUGCUCAUCAGAAAAGGCAAAUGUAAAAACAAAGACUACUUAAAAUGUGAUUAAUGGAUUAAUCAUCUAAUGUAAAGCCAAAAUUAGGAUUGAUCAGAGCAAAGUCUGGUCACAAAUACAAAUCUUGAAUUACUCUCUCUGUCCCUCCCUUGCCUGCAACUCCAUUACUUUGAAUACAGACUGUAGCUAACUCCAGUCAGAACUUAUCCUUCUUCUAAAACUGUGACACUUACUUGCUAAUUGCUAGGGUCCUAGAAAAAUACUUGAUCUUGUCUUGUUCUUGCUGUGAGCUGUGUAUUUCUUGGU